rnacentral:lncRNA from 1 species
UCCUAUCUUUCAGCAGAGAACUAAACAUGUUGACAUGAAUUGUCGUUUUGUAAGAGAGAAUAUUUAAGAGAAGCUCAUUCAGACACUACAUAUUGGCACAAAAGAAUAGACGACAGAUCUACUGACUAAGAGUUUGUGCAAGCCCCAAUGUGACUAUUUGAUUGACAAGCUAGGGAUGAGAAGCCUGUUUUCAUCCAUUAGCUUGAGGGGGAAUGCAGAAGAAUGUGGGGCCAGAUGCUGUGUAGCUUAAUCUAUUUAACAAUGAACUUAGGUAGUUAAUGAGGAUUAGUUAAAAUAGAUUAGUCAGAAC